UGGGGAAUUUUGGACAAUGGGCGAAAGCCUGAUCCAGCAAUGCCGCGUGUGUGAAGAAGGCCUUCGGGUUGUAAAGCACUUUUGUCCGGAAAGAAAUCCUUGGCUCUAAUACAGUCGGGGGAUGACGGUACCGGAAGAAUAAGCACCGGCUAACUACGUGCCAGCAGCCGCGGUAAUACGUAGGGUGCAAGCGUUAAUCGGAAUUACUGGGCGUAAAGCGUGCGCAGGCGGUUUGCUAAGACCGGUGUGAAAUCCCCGGGCUCAACCUGGGAACUGCAUUGGUGACUGGCAGGCUAGAGUAUGGCAGAGGGGGGUAGAAUUCCACGUGUAGCAGUGAAAUGCGUAGAGAUGUGGAGGAAUACCGAUGGCGAAGGCAGCCCCCUGGGCCAAUACUGACGCUCAUGCACGAAAGCGUGGGGAGCAAAACAGGAUUAGAUACCCUGGUAGUCCACGCCCUAAAACGAUGUCAACUAGUUGUUGGGGGAUUCAUUUUCCUUAGUAACGUAGCUAACGCGUGAAGUUGACCGCCUGGGGAGUACGGUCGCAAGAUUAAAACUCAAAGGAAUUG
rnacentral:rRNA from 1 species